GACGAAGGUGGCUAGCGUUGCUCGGUGUCACUGGGCUUAGAGCGUAUGUAGGCGGGAAAGUAAGCGCUUUGUGAAAUCCCCCAGCUCAACUGGGGAAUUGCUGGGCGAACUGCUUUUCUUGAGGCAAGUAGGGGUGCGUGGAACUCUUGGUGGAGCGGUGGAAUGCGUAGAUAUCAAGAGGAAUGCCGGUGGUGAAGACGAUGCACUAGGCUUGUCCUGACGCUGAGAUACGAAAGCGUGGGGAG
rnacentral:rRNA from 1 species